rnacentral:lncRNA from 1 species
CUUGAAGCAGUAAAGUCCUUUAUGUGCAGCAGUUAAUUAAGCUUCCUUAUUGUUUUGUAGUUUUCUAGAAAGUACUUUCAUGAACUGGUUACACAUGUUUUUUAUUUUGAUAGCAGGCUUGAUAGAAAGUUUUGUUUUCUGUUGUUUUCAGUGAAUGAUUGGUGAAGUAACGAUUGAAGGAGAUAUUAAAUUGUUGUUUGUGAUAUCAAGUGGCUUGCCUACAAUAAAGGAC